UCUGGAGUCGAGGCUGGUUCCAAAAGAAGCAUGUUCAGGGCUUUUUUCAGAAGAUUCCUGGCCUCUUCUAAUUGGCAAGCUAACUGCGCUGAUGAGAUCUCACGCGCGGAGUAAGACCGAUUUGCUAAUAUUAUCGUAGAUAUUUGUAAUAAUCUAUAUUAAGAUUGAGAUGAAAUAAACAAUGGCGUUUUCCUACCUUUUAAACGUGA